rnacentral:tRNA from 3 species
GAUUCCGUAGCUCAGCUGGUAGAGCAUUUGACUUUUAAUCAAAGGGUCCCGGGUUCGAACCCCGGCGGGAUCA